CCUACGGGCGGCUGCAGUAGGGAAUCUUCCACAAUGGACGAAAGUCCGAUGGAGCAACGCCGCGUGUGUGCUGAAGGGUUUCGGCUCGUAAAACACUGUUGUAAGAGCAGAAUGACAUUGAGAGUAACUUUUCAGUGUGUGACGGUAUCUUACCAGAAAGUAACGGCUAAAUACGUGCCAGCACCCGCGGUAAUACGUUUUUUCCAAGCGUUAUCCGGAUUUAUUGGGCGUAAAGCGAGCGAAGACGGUUGUUUAAGUCCGAAGUGAAAGCCAAGAGCUUAAGUGUGGAAGUGCUUUGGAAACUGGAUAACUUGAGUGCAGUAGAGGAUAGGUGAACUCCAUGUGUAGCGGUGACAUGCGUAGAUAUAUGGAAGAACACCAGUGGAGAAGGCGGCUCUCUGGACUGUAACUGACGUUGAGGCUCGAAAGUGUGGGUAGCAAACAGGAUUAGAUACCCGGGUAGUC
rnacentral:rRNA from 1 species